GUGCUCGCUUCGGCAGCACAUAUACUAAAAUUGGAACAAUACAAAGAAGAUUAGCAUGGACCCUACGCAAGAAUGACACGCAAAUUCGUGAAGCAUUCCAUAUUUUUU
ensembl:snRNA predicted gene, 26180